CAGCCGCCGCGGUAAUACCGGCGGCCCGAGUGGCGGCUACUAUUAUUGGGCCUAAAGCGUCCGUAGCCGGGCUGGUAAGUCCUCCGGGAAAUCUGGUCGCUUAACGAUCAGACUUCCGGAGGAUACUGCUGGCCUAGGGACCGGGAGAGGCCGAGGGUAUUCCCGGGGUAGGGGUGAAAUCCUGUAAUCCCGGGUGGACCACCUGUGGCGAAGGCGCUCGGCUGGAACGGGUCCGACGGUGAGGGACGAAGGCCAGGGGAGCGAACCGGAUUAGAUACCCGGGUAGUCCUGGCUGUAAACGAUGCGGACUUUGUGUCGGACAAGCUAUGAGCUUGUCCGGUGCCGGAGGGAAACCGUUAAGUCCGCCGCCUGGGGAGUACGGCCGCAAGGCUGAAACUUAAAGGAAUUGGCGGG
rnacentral:rRNA from 1 species